rnacentral:rRNA from 1 species
UACGUAGGGGGCAAGCGUUGUCCGGAAUCAUUGGGCGUAAAGAGCGUGUAGGCGGCUCGAUAAGUCUGCUGUGAAAGUCCAGGGCUCAACCCUGGAAGGCCGGUGGAAACUGUCGGGCUAGAGUCCGGAAGAGGCGAGUGGAAUUCCCGGUGUAGCGGUGAAAUGCGUAGAUAUGUGGAGGAACACCGAUGGCGAAGGCAGCCCCCUGGGUUAACACUGACGCUCAUGCACGAAAGCGUGGGGAGCAAACAGG